GAUGAACGCUGGCGGCGUGCCUAAUACAUGCAAGUCGAGCGAACAGACGAGGAGCUUGCUCCUCUGACGUUAGCGGCGGACGGGUGAGUAACACGUGGAUAACCUACCUAUAAGACUGGGAUAACUUCGGGAAACCGGAGCUAAUACCGGAUAAUAUAUUGAACCGCAUGGUUCAAUAGUGAAAGACGGUUUUGCUGUCACUUAUAGAUGGAUCCGCGCCGCAUUAGCUAGUUGGUAAGGUAACGGCUUACCAAGGCAACGAUGCGUAGCCGACCUGAGAGGGUGAUCGGCCACACUGGAACUGAGACACGGUCCAGACUCCUACGGGAGGCAGCAGUAGGGAACCUUCCGCAAUGGGCGAAAGCUUGACGGAGCAACGCCGCGUGAGUGAUGAAGGUCUUCGGAUCGUAAAACUCUGUUAUUAGGGAAGAACAAAUGUGUAAGUAACUAUGCACGUCUUGACGGUACCUAAUCAGAAAGCCACGGCUAACUACGUG
rnacentral:rRNA from 1 species